CCUACGGGAGGCAGCAGUGAGGAAUAUUGGUCAAUGGACGAGAGUCUGAACCAGCCAAGUAGCGUGAAGGAUGACUGCCCUAUGGGUUGUAAACUUCUUUUAUAUGGGAAUAAAAUGUUCCACGUGUGGGAUUUUGUAUGUACCAUAUGAAUAAGGAUCGGCUAACUCCGUGCCAGCAGCCGCGGUAAUACGGAGGAUCCGAGCGUUAUCCGGAUUUAUUGGGUUUAAAGGGAGCGUAGGUGGAUUGUUAAGUCAGUUGUGAAAGUUUGCGGCUCAACCGUAAAAUUGCAGUUGAAACUGGCAGUCUUGAGUACAGUAGAGUUGGGCGGAAUUCGUGGUGUAGCGGUGAAAUGCUUAGAUAUCACGAAGAACUCCGAUUGCGAAGGCAGUUCACUGGACUGCAACUGACACUGAGGCUCGAAAGUGUGGGUAUCAAACAGGAUUAGAUACCCGAGUAGUC
rnacentral:rRNA from 1 species